UACGAAGGGGGCUAGCGUUGUUCGGAAUUACUGGGCGUAAAGCGCGCGCAGGCGGCUAUCCAAGUCAGUGGUGAAAGCCCGGAGCUCAACUCCGGAACUGCCAUUGAAACUGUUUAGCUUGAGGACGAGAGAGGUGAGUGGAAUUCCCAGUGUAGAGGUGAAAUUCGUAGAUAUCGGGAAGAACACCAGUGGCGAAAGCGCUCUACUGGGCCAUAACUGACACUGAGGGACGAAAGCUAGGGGAGCGAAAGGG
rnacentral:rRNA from 1 species